rnacentral:rRNA from 1 species
AACGAACGCUGGCGGCAUGCCUAACACAUGCAAGUCGAACGAGACCUUCGGGUCUAGUGGCGCACGGGUGCGUAACGCGUGGGAACCUGCCCUUAGGUUCGGUAUAACUCCCCGAAAGGGGUGCUAAUACCGGAUAAUGUCUUCGGACCAAAGAUUUAUCGCCUUUGGAUGGGGCCGCGUUUGAUUAGCUAGUUGGUAGGGUAAAAGCCUACCAAGGCGACGUUCCAUAGCUGGUCUGAGAGGAUGAUCAGCCACAAUGGGACUGAGACACGGCCCAGACUCCUACGGGGAGCAGCAGUGGGGAAGAUUGGAGGAUGAGCGAAAGCCUGAUCCAGCAAUGCCGCGUGAGUGAUGAAGGCCUUUGGGUUGUAAAGCUCUUUUACCCGGGAUGAUAAUGACAGUACCGGGAGAAUAAGCUCCGGCUAACUCCGUG